AUACUUACCUGGCAGGGGAGACACCAUGAUUACGUAGGUGGUUUUCCCAGGGUGAAGCUCAGCCAUUGCACUGUGGCCGUGCAAUUUCCCCAAAUGCGGGAAACUCGACUGCGUGAUUUGUGGUAGUGGGGGACUGCGUUCGCGCUCAAUAUCCCCCC